UAGGGAAUCUUCGGCAAUGGGGGGAACCCUGACCGAGCAACGCCGCGUGAGUGAAGAAGGUUUUCGGAUCGUAAAGCUCUGUUGUUAAGGAAGAACGAGUGUGAGAAUGGAAAGUUCAUACUGUGACGGUACUUAACCAGAAAGGGACGGCUAACUACGUGCCAGCAGCCGCGGUAAUACGUAGGUCCCGAGCGUUGUCCGGAUUUAUUGGGCGUAAAGCGAGCGCAGGCGGUCAAUUAAGUCUGAUGUGAAAGCCCCCGGCUCAACCGGGGAGGGUCAUUGGAAACUGGUUGACUUGAGUGCAGAAGAGGAGAGUGGAAUUCCAUGUGUAGCGGUGAAAUGCGUAGAUAUAUGGAGGAACACCAGUGGCGAAGGCGACUCUCUGGUCUGUAACUGACGCUGAGGCUCGAAAGCGUGGGGAGCGAACAGG
rnacentral:rRNA from 1 species